CAAGCUGGAAAGCUUGGCGAUACAGGGUGAUAGCCCCGUAACCGACGCUUCAUCGAGCGUGAAAUCGAGUAGGGCGGGACACGUGAUAUCCUGUCUGAAUAUGGGGGGACCAUCCUCCAAGGCUAAAUACUCCUGACUGACCGAUAGUGAACCAGUACCGUGAGGGAAAGGCGAAAAGAACCCCUGUGAGGGGAGUGAAAUAGAACCUGAAACCGUGUACGUACAAGCAGUAGGAGCACCUUCGUGGUGUGACUGCGUACCUUUUGUAUAAUGGGUCAGCGACUUAUAUUCAGUGGCA
rnacentral:rRNA from 1 species